rnacentral:misc_RNA from 1 species
CCUGAUAUCUGCGGCGGUAUGUGUGCCAUGGCCGGUCCUCCAAACGGCCAGGGUGUGAGAGUGGUAAUUGGGCCUGUUUUUGUUGUCUGGCUCGAUGAUUGUGGUCAUCAAACUUUCACCACACACCACCUUCUCAUGUUCGCCUUGGGCCAUUUUGCCCAUGGCGUUCAAUUAUGGUUCUUGUGCUGCCGACCCGUCAAGCGGGAUUCAUGCGCCUAUUUUGAGCUUUUCUGCCCGAACCCCUUCUAGAGGUUGGUGGAGGAUUCGAAAUAGAUGCCUGCGAUGCGUAAGCUGGGCCUUGCAAGGCCUUGCGUACGCAGAACCGUCUAAAGUACCCUUGAAUGCGGUCCAUAUGGAUUGCAUGGAUUGAUAAGACGCCCCCCUUGAGCCCCUCCAAUUUAUAGGAUCCCUCCCAGGACACUUCCCUCUAGUGACGGGCUCGCUCAACCGACCCUGUGGCCAACACUUGCACUUCAAGAAAAGUCCCUGUUG